rnacentral:rRNA from 1 species
CAAUAGCGUAUAUUAAAGUUGUUGCGGUAAAAAAGCUCGUAGUUGGAUUUCUACCGAAGAUAGCCGGUCGGGUCUUCGACCUUGUAUCUGGUUUUGUCUUUGGUAUCCUCAUAGGGAACGUUUCUGCGCUUUAUUGCGUGGUGCGGUAUCUAUGACUUUUACUUUGAGGAAAUUAGAGUGUUCACGGCAGGCAAACGCCUUGAAUAUAUUAGCAUGGAAUAAUAACAUAGGAUCUUCGUCCUAUUUUGUUGGUUUCUAGGGCUAAGAUAAUGAUUAAUAGGGAUAAUUGGGGGCAUCUGUAUCAACGCGUCAGAGGUGGAAUUCUUGGAUUGCGUUGCGACAAACUACUGCUAAAGCAUUUGCCAAGGAUGUUUUCAUUGA